rnacentral:rRNA from 1 species
GAUGAACGCUGGCGGCGUGCCUAAUACAUGCAAGUCGAGCGAACAGACGAGGAGCUUGCUCCUCUGACGUUAGCGGCGGACGGGUGAGUAAUACGUGGAUAACCUACCUAUAAGACUGGGAUAACUUCGGGAAACCGGAGCUAAUACCGGAUCAUAUAUUGAACCGCAUGGUUCAAUAGUGAAAGACGGUUUUGCUGUCACUUAUAGAUGGUUCCGCGCCGCAUUAGCUAGUUGGUAAGGUAACGGCUUACCAAGGCAACGAUGCGUAGCCGAUCUGAGAGGGUGAUCAGCCACACUGGAACUGAGACACGGUCCAGACUCCUACGGGAGGCAGCAGUGGGGAAUCUUCCACAAUGGGCGAAAGCCUGACGGAGCAACGCCGCGUGAGUGAUGAAGGUCUUCGGAUCGUAAAACUCUGUUAGUAGGGAAGAACAAAUGUGUAAGUAAAUAUGCACGUCUUGACGGUACCUAAUCAGAAAGCCACGGCUAACUACGUG